rfam:Loxodonta africana unplaced genomic scaffold scaffold_12, whole genome shotgun sequence.
GGCAGCAUAGCACAGUGGUUAAGUGUUUGGCUGCUAACCAGAAGGUUGGCAGUUCAAAUCCACCAGCUGCUC